rnacentral:rRNA from 1 species
AUUGAACGCUGGCGGCGUGCUUAACACAUGCAAGUCGAUCGGUAACAGGUGUAGCAAUACAUGCUGACGAGAGGCGGACGGGUGAGGAAUAUUUGGGAAUCUGCCCACCAGCGGGGGACAACCCGGGGAAACUCGGGCUAAUACCGCAUACGCUCUACGGAGGAGAGCCGGGGACCGCAAGGCCUGGCACUGAUGGAUGAGCCCAAAUCGGAUUAGCUAGUUGGCGGGGUAACGGCCCACCAAGGCGAAGAUCCGUAGCUGGUCUGAGAGGACGAUGAGCCACACCGGCACUGAGACACGGUCCGGACGCCUACGUGAGGCAGCAGUGGGGAAUAUUGGAGAAUGGGGGAAACCCUGAUCCAGCGACGCCGCGUGGGUGAAGGAGGCCUGCGGGUUGUAAAGCCCUUUCGGUGGGGAAGAAUGGCAUUCGGUCCAAUACAUCGGAUGUUUGACGGUACCCGACGAAUAAGCUCCGGCUAACUCCGUGCCAGCCGCCGCGGUAAUAC